rnacentral:lncRNA from 1 species
GACUUUGGCAUCACCAUCAUGUCCAUCUUCACCUAAAAUCCUGUUUGCCUCCUAGGCACACCACUCUUUAAGGGAUAAGCCCUGAAUGGCACUGAAACUCUCUUUUGUACCAUGGGACAUGAUAGAAGCUUUCUAUCACUGACCUGAAUGGUCAGAUACAAAGACACAUGGUAACCAGUUGGACCUGGACUCCCAGAACCUGAUCCCUUGCCUGGAAAAGGUCUCCAGUUGAUGGGCAUUUGGGCUGUUUCCAAGUGACGGAGCCAGCCGUUACUUGUCGAACAGCACCUGAAUGGGGGAGUGAGGAUGAAGAAAAAGAAAGACAAAGAGAUGGAGUCAGGAGGGCUCCCAGAGAUCGAGCACCCAAGUUUAUUUUUCUCCUCUCUUUUAUACAGCAGGGUUACAGAAUGUUCAUCACGUUCCAGGGCAAUCUAAUUUGGCAAGGACACGGUUCCUCAUAACAUCGUCUCCUUGCUCUGUACAACGGAGGGUAAGAUUCAAAAUGGAGCCUCUUUGGCUAACACCGCUCUCCACACAGCGCUCUCCACAUCCAAGUUUCAGCUAUUACAAACUGCGCUGCUAUGAACGUGGGCGCACAUAUAUCACUGUGGUAUGAUUCUUUUAAUUCUUUGGGGAAGAUCCCCAUCAGUGGAAUAGCGGGGUCAAAUGGGACUUC